UUAUCUCUUAUAAAAUCAUACAGGAAACAUUAUCAAACAUAAAAUGAUGUUUGACUUUCUUUAUUCUAAAAACUAAUAAAAAUAGGUGCUAAAAAUUUUCCAAAUGAAAAUAAAUAUUGCUAAACCAAAGAGAAAUGUUAUCUAAGCCCCGUAUAAAAAAUAAAUAAAUCUUGUUCCAAUUGCAUCAAAAAACCCAUUAAGGGCCCUCCAGCACAGGGUUAAUACCAACGAGUUUCCACCUCCAGCUGCUCCUAGAGUGGCCACAGCAUGAGCCAUCUGGUGGGGGACCUAGCCGCCAACAGACACUUCCUGUACAGGGGAGGGGGGAGGGGGCCAGGCAGCCGUUAGACAGCACAACCGAACCCAACACCGGGGCCCAACGGCAGGGGCUUGGGCAGGAGCAAGGUCCGAGGGCUGCCAGGUCCACGCUGCUUUUAUGAGCUGUAACACUCACCGCGAAGAUCUGCAGCUUCACUCCUGAGCCCAGCGAGACCACGAGCCCACCGGGAGGAACAAACAACUCCAGACGCGCUGCCUUAAGAGCUGUAACACUUGCCGUGAAGGUCUGCAGCUUCACUCCUGAGCCAGCGAGACCACGAACCCACCAGAAGGAAGAAACUCCGAACACAUCUCAACAUCAGAACGGACAGACUCCAGACGCACCACCUUAAGAGCUGUAACACUCACCGCGAGGUUCCGCGGCUUCAUUCUUGAAGUCAGUAAGACCAAGAACCCACCAAUUCCGGACACAGUAGCAUUUGGGAAUAAUAAGAAUUGUAGCUGGGCAUGGUGGUACACGCCUGUAGACCCCUAGCAGCUGCCAUCAUCCUCACCAUCCGCAUAUUAUUGAUAUAUUAACUCUUUGAUGGCAACCAUAGCUUAUCCCCCUUAUCUCCCUAUGCCCUACAGCAGGGCAGUGGAAUGGUUAAGAGGCUUUGAAGUCUAAGAGUGCUGGCUUAAAACCCUAAUUUGUCAUUUUGGAUGUGUGGCUUUGGACACUUGGGGCAGGUCACCUAUGUUCUUCAAGCCCUGUAUCCUUAUCUGUCAGAUGAUGAUUUUUUUUUUUUUAGACGAAGUCUCACUCUCUUGCCCGGGCUGGAGUGCAGUGGCAUGAUCUCGGCUUACUGCAAGCUCCACCUCCCGGGUUGACGCCAUUCUCCUGCCUCAGCUUCCUGAGUAGCUGGGACUACAGGCUCCUGCCACCACCCGUGGCUAAUUUUUUUGUAUUUUUAGUAGAGACAGGGUUUCACCAUGUUAGCCAGGAUGGUCUCGAUCUCCUGACCUCGUGAUCUGCCCGCCCCAGCCUCCCAAAGUAUCAGAUGAUUUUAACAACUAUGCUUCCAUGACUUGCUGGGCUAGAUGAUAUGACUGUAAAAUGCCUAACCCAUGGUUUAGCAUCAAGUAAGCAAAUUGUAAAUGGUAGCACUGCUCUGCCUAUGACUAUUUAGUCUUGUGCUUUAAACUCAAAUAUUUGUUGGCCUACUGAAGUCACCACACAGAGAAAGAUGCUUUUCAUUCUCAGUAAAGAACUUUGGGAGAUAACUGGGGCAGGCAGCAAGAGAACAGAUGUCAUAUGUCUAGCAUCAGCAAACUCAUCAGAACUGAUGGGCAGCUCACUUUGCUUAGAACCUGCACCAGCAUACACACGGGGCUGCUUCCCAGUCACACUGCUCCUGGGAAGGUAGGGGGGCUGCUGUUCUGCAAUUAGCGCGGUUCUUUACCUCCUAUUACCGAACUGCCAGAGUUCAUUUGUGUUCAGUUAGGUAGAUGACCAAUUCUUGUUCAUUCCUAUUUUCUUUUGCUCACUAAUGUGUUUAACGUUCACUAACCUACCAAAUGUGAUUUAUUAGCGACUUUUUCUUUGAAGAUGGAGUGGAGGAAUCCUAGCGCUUUCUGCAACAUGCUACUGCUGUUAUGGAACAGUGCAGAUAUGGAAGUGCAUCAGCCGGGGAUGGGGAGAGGCUAGGGCAGUACAUGUGAAUGGAGAGGUAGCCCCACCAGUGUGUUUUCUGAAAUACAGUCCCGCAGAGGGCAGUCUUGGGAAAUUACUGUUCUCACACACUCUUCUUGACCCUACCCCUCCAGCACCUCCCUUGCUAUCCAAGGGUUGGGAUUUUUAAAAAGAAAAACAAAUUUUAAAAAAAGCAGUGUGAAUCUUUUGCCAUCUUGUAAGGGUGAAAAGCCCCCUACCAAGUCGGGAUGAACAUUCAUGCGUGUGCUUGAGGGCUUGGGAAAAAGACAGGGCUUGGCCCCACAGUGCAGGUAGGCCCAGUGAUCCUAUAAUAGGGGCCAGGAGAUGGGAGGUCCCCUGUGGGCAGGAGUUCAAGUAUGUGGUAUUAUAUGACUGGUGCUUGAUGAACCCAGGGAGAGGGCACCAAAAACAAUGGUAUUUAAUUGUAAAAUCUCCACCCCCUGAGGAUAUGUUUUCAGGUCUGGGUGACUAAUUAGACUGGGAAACAAGGGCAGGAACGAUGGCCCUGUGCUUGCUCUGCCCGCUGCCUCUGUGGAUGUGUGGGCUGCUGGCUUCAGUCCUGCUUUUCUUUCUGAUGGUAUUGUUUAUGCUAUGUGUUUUUGCAGGAGGCCUGAGGUGGGCUGGGUUCUCCUCCUAUGGCAGGGCUUCACUCUCCUCCUCCUUCUCUGUUGGGGCUUCACUGUCCCUGGGAUAAGAAUAACAAUGCCAAGGUUUUCAUUCUUGAAAGGAGCAAUUAAGCGUCUCACCCCCUCCUCAUUUUAGAUGGGAACUGUGAGGGUCCCGUCAUUUACCCAGGGUCCCUGUUGAGGAUCUUGUCCUCAUUAGAUGACUUCUUGUGCAGCUUCCAUGCGUGAUUCUUUACUCUUGUGGCACUGAGAGGUUUGUACAUGUCUUUAAGCCAGAGCGGCUUUCUGAAUGAAAAAAGUCCAUCCUAGAAGAUAGAAAGGGAAAUAUUAAUUUUGCAUGUCCUCUGCUUUCCCUGGUCACAGCAAUGAAUCCUCCAAUGUACCUGACUCUCCCUUUGCGAAGAGCAUCUCCGUGGCAGAAAUCUGAAAAUGCCCCUGGGGAGACACAUGCACAAGACAGUUCGUGAGCCACACAUCUCCCCACACCAAGCUCCUCCAUACAAGACCUCGGACUGCAUCACGUAAAUGCUUUUUCAGGGGCAAAAUCUAGAGAAUCUGAAACGAGCUAUCAGCUUCCCAGUUUGCACAAUUCAUCAAGAAAUUAUGCGGGGUCACUGGCACAAAUGAUGAGGCAUCUCCUGGAAGCUUAACUUCUUAUCCAUCCCAUCUCUUGGACAGAUGAUGCCAGUUAAUUACUUUGAAUAGAAGACUCACUGGUGGCACCUGCAGCUGCGGCGUUUUCCCCAAGGCCGGCGUGCUGUGCAAUUUAUCCAGUGGCCACUAGAGGACAGCAGCGACUCAGGGGUCUGUCACACGCAGCCCAACUCAACUGGAGUCCUGAGAAGGUGAACAGACCAGGAUGGAUGGCCAGGGAACUCACCAGAAGUCCCCAGGCAUCAGAACAAGGUCGAAGCAUCCUGAUUAGGGUACCAGAGGCCCAGGCAGUACUUUUGGGGUAGACGAGGUACAGACCUUUGGCUCCUCACUGUCUUCAAGCCCACAAGAAGCAUAGAGCAGAAGAAGACAGAGGAGGGCCCAUCUGGCCCACUACCUGUUCUUGUAAAUAAAGCUUUAUUGAAGCCAGGUGCUCACCUUCUAGCACAUUCUUCAAGAGUUACUCUGAGGCAAGCCAGCCGCCAUGUCAUGAGGACACUCAAGCAGCACCAUGGAGAGGUCCGAUGGCGAGGAACAGAGGAUCCCCCUGCCGACAGCCAAUGAGGAACAGGCCUCCUGCCAACAGCCGUGUAAGGGGUCACCUUGGAAGCCAAUGGCCCCUCCCUGGUCAGGCUUUUACAUGACUGCAGUCCUGGCCAACAUCCUGACGGCAACCUCAUGAGAGACCUUGAGCCAGAGCCACCCACCUAAGCUGCUUAUAGGUUCCUGGCCCUCAGAAAUCACAUGAGAUCAUAAAUGUUUGCUCAAUUUGAGAUAUUUGUGAUGUAGCAAUAAAUAACAAACACACUUA
rnacentral:lncRNA from 1 species